UCCAGACUCCUACGGGAGGCAGCAGUGGGGAAUAUUGGGCAAUGGGCGCAAGCCUGACCCAGCAACGCCGCGUGAAGGAAGAAGGCUUUCGGGUUGUAAACUUCUUUUCUCAGGGACGAAGAAAGUGACGGUACCUGAGGAAUAAGCCACGGCUAACUACGUGCCAGCAGCCGCGGUAAUACGUAGGUGGCAAGCGUUAUCCGGAUUUAUUGGGUGUAAAGGGCGUGUAGGCGGGAGCGCAAGUCAGAUGUGAAAACUCCGGGCUCAACCUGGAGACUGCACUUGAAACUGGGUGUCUUGAGGGCAGGAGAGGAAAGUGGAAUUCCUAGUGUAGCGGUGAAAUGCGUAGAUAUUAGGAGGAACACCAGUGGCGAAGGCGGUCUGCUGGACAGCAACUGACGCUGAGGCGCGAAAGCGUGGGGAGCAAACAGGAUUAGAUACCCCAGUACAC
rnacentral:rRNA from 1 species